AGCGUACACGGUGGAUGCCCUGGCAGUCAGAGGCGAUGAAGGACGUGCUAAUCUGCGAUAAGCGUCGGUAAGGUGAUAUGAACCGUUAUAACCGGCGAUUUCCGAAUGGGGAAACCCAGUGUGAUUCGUCACACUAUCAUUAACUGAAUCCAUAGGUUAAUGAGGCGAACCGGGGGAACUGAAACAUCUAAGUACCCCGAGGAAAAGAAAUCAACCGAGAUUCCCCCAGUAGCGGCGAGCGAACGGGGAGGAGCCCAGAGCCUGAAUCAGUGUGUGUGUUAGUGGAAGCGUCUGGAAAGGCGCGCGAUACAGGGUGACAGCCCCGUACACAAAAAUGCACAUGCUGUGAGCUCGAUGAGUAGGGCGGGACACGUGGUAUCCUGUCUGAAUAUGGGGGGACCAUCCUCCAAGGCUAAAUACUCCUGACUGACCGAUAGUGAACCAGUACCGUGAGGGAAAGGCGAAAAGAACCCCGGCGAGGGGAGUGAAAAAGAACCUGAAACCGUGUACGUACAAGCAGUGGGAGCACAGAGCAAUCUGUGUGACUGCGUACCUUUUGUAUAAUGGGUCAGCGACUUAUAUUCUGUAGCAAGGUUAACCGAAUAGGGGAGCCGAAGGGAAACCGAGUCUUAACUGGGCGUUAAGUUGCAGGGUAUAGACCCGAAACCCGGUGAUCUAGCCAUGGGCAGGUUGAAGGUUGGGUAACACUAACUGGAGGACCGAACCGACUAAUGUUGAAAAAUUAGCGGAUGACUUGUGGCUGGGGGUGAAAGGCCAAUCAAACCGGGAGAUAGCUGGUUCUCCCCGAAAGCUAUUUAGGUAGCGCCUCGUGAAUUCAUCUCCGGGGGUAGAGCACUGUUUCGGCAAGGGGGUCAUCCCGACUUACCAACCCGAUGCAAACUGCGAAUACCGGAGAAUGUUAUCACGGGAGACACACGGCGGGUGCUAACGUCCGUCGUGAAGAGGGAAACAACCCAGACCGCCAGCUAAGGUCCCAAAGUCAUGGUUAAGUGGGAAACGAUGUGGGAAGGCCCAGACAGCCAGGAUGUUGGCUUAGAAGCAGCCAUCAUUUAAAGAAAGCGUAAUAGCUCACUGGUCGAGUCGGCCUGCGCGGAAGAUGUAACGGGGCUAAACCAUGCACCGAAGCUGCGGCAGCGACACUAUGUGUUGUUGGGUAGGGGAGCGUUCUGUAAGCCUGUGAAGGUGUACUGUGAGGUAUGCUGGAGGUAUCAGAAGUGCGAAUGCUGACAUAAGUAACGAUAAAGCGGGUGAAAAGCCCGCUCGCCGGAAGACCAAGGGUUCCUGUCCAACGUUAAUCGGGGCAGGGUGAGUCGACCCCUAAGGCGAGGCCGAAAGGCGUAGUCGAUGGGAAACAGGUUAAUAUUCCUGUACUUGGUGUUACUGCGAAGGGGGGACGGAGAAGGCUAUGUUGGCCGGGCGACGGUUGUCCCGGUUUAAGCGUGUAGGCUGGUUUUCCAGGCAAAUCCGGAAAAUCAAGGCUGAGGCGUGAUGACGAGGCACUACGGUGCUGAAGCAACAAAUGCCCUGCUUCCAGGAAAAGCCUCUAAGCAUCAGGUAACAUCAAAUCGUACCCCAAACCGACACAGGUGGUCAGGUAGAGAAUACCAAGGCGCUUGAGAGAACUCGGGUGAAGGAACUAGGCAAAAUGGUGCCGUAACUUCGGGAGAAGGCACGCUGAUAUGUAGGUGAAGUCCCUCGCGGAUGGAGCUGAAAUCAGUCGAAGAUACCAGCUGGCUGCAACUGUUUAUUAAAAACACAGCACUGUGCAAACACGAAAGUGGACGUAUACGGUGUGACGCCUGCCCGGUGCCGGAAGGUUAAUUGAUGGGGUCAGCGCAAGCGAAGCUCUUGAUCGAAGCCCCGGUAAACGGCGGCCGUAACUAUAACGGUCCUAAGGUAGCGAAAUUCCUUGUCGGGUAAGUUCCGACCUGCACGAAUGGCGUAAUGAUGGCCAGGCUGUCUCCACCCGAGACUCAGUGAAAUUGAACUCGCUGUGAAGAUGCAGUGUACCCGCGGCAAGACGGAAAGACCCCGUGAACCUUUACUAUAGCUUGACACUGAACAUUGAGCCUUGAUGUGUAGGAUAGGUGGGAGGCUUUGAAGUGUGGACGCCAGUCUGCAUGGAGCCGACCUUGAAAUACCACCCUUUAAUGUUUGAUGUUCUAACGUUGACCCGUGAUCCGGGUUGCGGACAGUGUCUGGUGGGUAGUUUGACUGGGGCGGUCUCCUCCUAAAGAGUAACGGAGGAGCACGAAGGUUGGCUAAUCCUGGUCGGACAUCAGGAGGUUAGUGCAAUGGCAUAAGCCAGCUUGACUGCGAGCGUGACGGCGCGAGCAGGUGCGAAAGCAGGUCAUAGUGAUCCGGUGGUUCUGAAUGGAAGGGCCAUCGCUCAACGGAUAAAAGGUACUCCGGGGAUAACAGGCUGAUACCGCCCAAGAGUUCAUAUCGACGGCGGUGUUUGGCACCUCGAUGUCGGCUCAUCACAUCCUGGGGCUGAAGUAGGUCCCAAGGGUAUGGCUGUUCGCCAUUUAAAGUGGUACGCGAGCUGGGUUUAGAACGUCGUGAGACAGUUCGGUCCCUAUCUGCCGUGGGCGCUGGAGAACUGAGGGGGGCUGCUCCUAGUACGAGAGGACCGGAGUGGACGCAUCACUGGUGUUCGGGUUGUCAUGCCAAUGGCACUGCCCGGUAGCUAAAUGCGGAAGAGAUAAGUGCUGAAAGCAUCUAAGCACGAAACUUGCCCCGAGAUGAGUUCU
rnacentral:rRNA from 2 species